UACAGGGGGUGCAAACGUUGCUCGGAAUUAUUGGGCGUAAAGCGCGCGUAGGCGGCUUUGUAAGUUAGAGGUGAAAGCCUGGAGCUCAACUUCAGAAUUGCCUUUAAGACUGCAUCGCUUGAAUCCGGGAGAGGUGAGUGGAAUUCCGAGUGUAGAGGUGAAAUUCGUAGAUAUUCGGAAGAACACCAGUGGCGAAGGCGGCUCACUGGACCGGCAUUGACGCUGAGGUGCGAAAGCGUGGGGAGCAAACAGG
rnacentral:rRNA from 1 species